UACGUAGGGUGCGAGCGUUGUCCGGAAUUAUUGGGCGUAAAGAGCUCGUAGGCGGUUUGUUGCGUCGGCCGUGAAAACCUGUAGCUUAACUGUGGGCCUGCGGCCGAUACGGGCAGACUUGAGUUCGGUAGGGGAGACUGGAAUUCCUGGUGUAGCGGUGAAAUGCGCAGAUAUCAGGAGGAACACCGGUGGCGAAGGCGGGUCUCUGGGCCGAUACUGACGCUGAGACGCGAAAGCGUGGGGAGCAAACAGG
rnacentral:rRNA from 1 species